rnacentral:rRNA from 1 species
GAUUAAGUUAUUAAGGGCGCACGGUGGAUGCCUUGGCACUAGAAGCCGAAGAAGGACGUUACUAACGACGAUAUGCUUUGGGGAGCUGUAAGUAAGCGUUGAUCCAGAGAUUUCCGAAUGGGGAAACCCAACAUGAGUUAUGUCAUGUUAUCGAUAUGUGAAUACAUAGCAUAUCAGAAGGCAGACCCGGAGAACUGAAACAUCUUAGUACCCGGAGGAAGAGAAAGAAAAAUCGAUUCCCUGAGUAGCGGCGAGCGAAACGGGAAGAGCCCAAACCAACAAGCUUGCUUGUUGGGGUUGUAGGACACUCUAUACGGAGUUACAAAAGUAUAUAUUAGACGAAUCAUCUGGAAAGUUGAAUCAAAGAAGGUAAUAAUCCUGUAGUCGAAAAUAUAUACUCUCUUGAGUGGAUCCUGAGUACGACGGAGCACGUGAAAUUCCGUCGGAAUCUGGGAGGACCAUCUCCUAAGGCUAAAUACUCUCUAGUGACCGAUAGUGAACCAGUACCGUGAGGGAAAGGUGAAAAGUACCCCGGAAGGGGAGUGAAAGAGAACUUGAAACCGUGUGCUUACAAGUAGUCAGAGCCCGUUAAUGGGUGAUGGCGUGCCUUUUGUAGAAUGAACCGGCGAGUUACGAUUUGAUGCAAGGUUAAGCAGUGAAUGUGGAGCCGUAGCGAAAGCGAGUCUGAAUAGGGCGUUGAGUAUUUGGUCGUAGACCCGAAACCAGGUGAUCUACCCUUGGUCAGGUUGAAGUUCAGGUAACACUGAAUGGAGGACCGAACCGACUUACGUUGAAAAGUGAGCGGAUGAACUGAGGGUAGCGGAGAAAUUCCAAUCGAACCUGGAGAUAGCUGGUUCUCUCCGAAAUAGCUUUAGGGCUAGCCUCAAGUGAUGAUUAUUGGAGGUAGAGCACUGUUUGGACGAGGGGCCCUUCUCGGGUUACCGAAUUCAGACAAACUCCGAAUGCCAAUCAAUUUAACUUGGGAGUCAGAACAUGGGUGAUAAGGUCCGUGUUCGAAAGGGAAACAGCCCAGACCACCAGCUAAGGUCCCAAAAUAUAUGUUAAGUGGAAAAGGAUGUGGCGUUGCCCAGACAACUAGGAUGUUGGCUUAGAAGCAGCCAUCAUUUAAAGAGUGCGUAAUAGCUCACUAGUCGAGUGACACUGCGCCGAAAAUGUACCGGGGCUAAACAUAUUACCGAAGCUGUGGAUUGUCCGUAGGACAAUGGUAGGAGAGCGUUCUAAGGGCGUUGAAGCAUGAUCGCAAGGACAUGUGGAGCGCUUAGAAGUGAGAAUGCCGGUGUGAGUAGCGAAAGACGGGUGAGAAUCCCGUCCACCGAUUGACUAAGGUUUCCAGAGGAAGGCUCGUCCGCUCUGGGUUAGUCGGGUCCUAAGCUGAGGCCGACAGGCGUAGGCGAUGGAUAACAGGUUGAUAUUCCUGUACCACCUAGUAUCGUUUUAAUCGAUGGGGGGACGCAGUAGGAUAGGCGAAGCGUGCUAUUGGAUUGCACGUCCAAGCAGUAAGACUGAGUGUUAGGCAAAUCCGGCACUCAUAAGAUCAAGCUGUGAUGGGGAGAGGAAAUUGUUUCCUCGAGUCGUUGAUUUCACACUGCCAAGAAAAGCCUCUAGAUAGAUAACAGGUGCCCGUACCGCAAACCGACACAGGUAGUCAAGAUGAGAAUUCUAAGGUGAGCGAGCGAACUCUCGUUAAGGAACUCGGCAAAAUGACCCCGUAACUUCGGGAGAAGGGGUGCUCUUUAGGGUUAACGCCCAGAAGAGCCGCAGUGAAUAGGCCCAAGCGACUGUUUAUCAAAAACACAGGUCUCUGCUAAACCGUAAGGUGAUGUAUAGGGGCUGACGCCUGCCCGGUGCUGGAAGGUUAAGAGGAGUAGUUAGCUUCUGCGAAGCUACGAAUCGAAGCCCCAGUAAACGGCGGCCGUAACUAUAACGGUCCUAAGGUAGCGAAAUUCCUUGUCGGGUAAGUUCCGACCCGCACGAAAGGCGUAACGAUUUGGGCACUGUCUCAACGAGAGACUCGGUGAAAUCAUAGUACCUGUGAAGAUGCAGGUUACCCGCGACAGGACGGAAAGACCCCGUGGAGCUUUACUGUAGCCUGAUAUUGAAAUUCGGCACAGCUUGUACAGGAUAGGUAGGAGCCUUUGAAACGUGAGCGCUAGCUUACGUGGAGGCAUUGGUGGGAUACUACCCUAGAUGUGUUGGCUUUCUAACCCGCACCACUUAUCGUGGUGGGAGACAGUGUCAGGUGGGCAGUUUGACUGGGGCGGUCGCCUCCUAAAAGGUAACGGAGGCGCUCAAAGGUUCCCUCAGAAUGGUUGGAAAUCAUUCAUAGAGUGUAAAGGCAUAAGGGAGCUUGACUGCGAGACUUACAAGUCGAGCAGGGUCGAAAGACGGACUUAGUGAUCCGGUGGUUCCGCAUGGAAGGGCCAUCGCUCAACGGAUAAAAGCUACCCCGGGGAUAACAGGCUUAUCUCCCCCAAGAGUUCACAUCGACGGGGAGGUUUGGCACCUCGAUGUCGGCUCAUCGCAUCCUGGGGCUGUAGUCGGUCCCAAGGGUUGGGCUGUUCGCCCAUUAAAGCGGUACGCGAGCUGGGUUCAGAACGUCGUGAGACAGUUCGGUCCCUAUCCGUCGUGGGCGUAGGAAAUUUGAGAGGAGCUGUCCUUAGUACGAGAGGACCGGGAUGGACAUACCUCUGGUGUACCAGUUGUCGUGCCAACGGCAUAGCUGGGUAGCUAUGUAUGGACGGGAUAAGUGCUGAAAGCAUCUAAGCAUGAAGCCCCCCUCAAGAUGAGAUUUCCCAACUUCGGUUAUAAGAUCCCUCAAAGAUGAUGAGGUUAAUAGGUUCGAGGUGGAAGCGUGGUGACACGUGGAGCUGACGAAUACUAAUCGAUCGAAGACUUAAUCAA